rnacentral:miRNA from 1 species
UAGUACUGUGCAUAUCAUCUAU